rnacentral:ncRNA from 12 species
GGCGGAGUAGAGCAGUCAGGUAGCUCGCAGGGCUCAUAAUCCUGAAGUCAGAGGUUCAAAUCCUUUCUCCGCUA